ensembl:lncRNA
CAGGGAAGGCCUCCAGCGAGGAGUGCUGAGAUCACCGCAUCCUCAUUUGCCCUAUCUUGGUUUUAUUUCUCGGGGCUGUUCAACGAGAAAAUUCUUUCGAAGAGUCAGCUCUAGGCUCAGCACCAGGCUGGGUGUCAGGAGGCAGAGAUAAGAGUCCUGGUUGCUGCUUCAAUGAGGCCCAGACUCAGAGAAGCAGACAGUGUUACAACACCAAGCCGGCCAUAUGGGAGCGAUAAGCUGAGGGAGUGAACAGGCCCUGGGGACACAUCUGUCCAGUCCGGUGGAGUGUAUGCUGGGCUGACACACCUUCCUGGCCGACUGUGAAAGGAAGUGGAGGCGUGGGCCUCGAAUCGGGGAAGGUCUGGGCCAGGAGGUGAGAGGGGGCCCUCCUGUCGCUUCCUUGAGGACCCCUGCCUCCGUGCACUUCACCUUCCUGGGCCUUGUCCUGUGGAUUGAAUGUGUGUUCUUGCUUGCCUCCUCUCUCAAAGCAACAGCUAACUGCUCCCUGACCCUGGGCCCCCACAAAAGGCCAAUGCCACCCAUUGGUGAUACCAACUGGAACCCGACUGGGAACAGAGGGCAAGGGGCUGGAGGAGGCAGUCCUAGAAGCCAGCCUCCGGGCCUACAGAGCAGGGCGGAGGUCCCAGUACCUCAGGAUGUGACUGUGUUUGGAGAUAGCCUCUUUAAAGAGGCAUUUAAGUUAAAAUGAAGUCAUUAGUUUGGGCCGGAAUCCAGUGUGAUGGGGUCAUAGCAGAGGACACGGACUCACACAAAGGGAAGAGCGUGUGAAGCACGGGAGAUGACGGCUGCCUCCAAACCCAGGAGAGAGACCUCCGCAGAAACUAACCCUGCCAACACCUUGAUCUCUGACUUCCAGCCUCCAGAACCGUGAGACAAUAGAUUUCUGUUGUUCAAGCCGUUUGUCCAAGCCAGUCAACAGUGUCAAUAAAUUAUUUAGCGUAUGACAUCAA